rnacentral:rRNA from 1 species
UACGGGGGGGGCAAGCGUUGUUCGGAAUUACUGGGCGUAAAGGGUUUGUAGGUGGCCGGCUAAGUCAGACGUGAAAUCCCUCAGCUUAACUGGGGAACUGCGUCUGAAACUGAUCGGCUCGAGUGCAGGAGAGGAACGCGGAAUUCCAGGUGUAGCGGUGAAAUGCGUAGAUAUCUGGAGGAACACCGGUGGCGAAGGCGGCGUUCGUGGACUGCAACUGACACUGUAAAACGAAAGCCAGGGGAGCAAACGGG